GGCCUGCGCCGGGACCGGCACCCGGCAUCCGCAGAGACGGCGGCUCUGAGGCGGGCCCGGCGCGGGACGGGGGGCGCGGCGCGUGCCGGCUUUCCGCCGCUCUCCUCGUCCGGGGUCGGUGGUGCGCAGCCAGCCCUGAGGUGAAUGGGACAGGAGCAGCCCACCGUGGCUCCCGUGUCCAGCGUGCAUCUGUAACAUGCCUUACACUCGAUAUUCCACAAACCGCCUGUCUCUCCCACAGUAAAAUCAUGCAUCCAUCAUUACAAGCUGCUGUGUCCUGUCAGGGGGUUGGCUGCAGCUCAUACAAUUUACGUGGUUUAAGCCUAAGAGUGUCCUAUAAAAGCAAACAGAUUCCUGUAGGGACUGCUGGAGGCACUGGCAGUGCUGAUGAACACGCUGAGCUCAGGUGCAGUCAGGAGCGCAUUCCUCAGUAGCCACAAUCUCUCAAGUGACAUUGCUAAUCAAUGAUCAAGACUUCUUGAAUUAAAACAAAUCCGGCACUGGUCAUUUUCUUUAAUAUUCACCACUGCAAUUAAAUUAAGAACGGCCUUAAGCUGAGAGGAGCGCACAGGAAAGCGAUACAAAAAUAACUGCAAGGUUUGGGUAGGAAAUCACCAAACACAAUGCUCUGCACUGCACUGCAUUGUUCUUGACCGGAUAACUUCUGCAGAAAUGCUUCACAACUCUGCGUAACUCCCGUUGGUGCUUUUUUCUCCCCUGCUGAUGAGUUUGGAGAUCCUGGUGUCAUAUAUAUGUUUUCUAUCCAGCAGUCUGGCUGUGGCUCAUUAGCUUUAAAGGCUCACAAGCAGGAGUUUACAAUUGGUUUAAAUACAAGCAAAGAAACAGAGUGAUGACUCAGGAUAUACUUUUGAGCUUCAUUUCUACCUCUCAGUUCCUCUUUUUUCAGAGUGGGAGGAACAAAAAGGCCAGCUGACAGGCUUGAGGUUCAGACCCCUUCGAUUACAAUUACAGGCACCCAGCAAUUACUUUUUUAACUCCUGGGUAUGGGAGCUGCUGCUCCAGCCUUGCUGCAUCCUGAGGGCUGUCAGUGGGCUUCUGGUGGCUGCUUGUGUUGGAUGCAGAAAUUUGGGUUUGGUGCUGCUGAAAAGCGAGGUGGGGGCAACCAACAGAGGGUCCCAAGCUAGCCCUUUAGCUACUGAGGUCAGACUGUUCUCCUUUAUGUCAACGACUUUUACCUUCUUCCUUACUAGACAGAUAGAUUGGUGUGCAUGUGCUGCUCCUGAACAAAUCUGCCCUGUUCCCAGCCACUCCUGUGUUUCACUCCACCAACCUGCUGGAACAGUGAGCCUGUAGCUGCACAUGCUCAGAUCCAUGUUCACUAAAAGGUAAAUGGUAGUUCUUCUUGCAAGAUGACUCACAUCACAACUUGUCAGGGGAGUGUGGCCUUGGAGUAUCACCCACCUUUACAACAAGAAGAAUUGCACUUCCUUGUUAGUGUCCAUCUGGUUUGGAGAUCUGUUAGUGUAAUAGCUGAGAAAUGAUGUCUGUCAAGAGAGCACUAUGGAAAAUGAAGAUUUUUCCUUCAUAAUCUCUGAGGAGUGAAGGAUUUGAAAUAAAGUGGUGACGCAAUUGCUCCUGAAAGAAUAAUAUUUUUCAGGAAAAACCUGUUUAAAAGCAAUAAAUGUUGAAGGCUGUAAAGAUCUUCGGAUAUUGCUUUUUGUGAACCUUUUAAAAUAUGCUGUUUUCAAUAACUAGCAAGUUUUUUUUUUUGGAUAUGAUUUUAUAUGAAUUGUCAAAUGGGGUUGAUGGUAAAACCCAAGAAAUGCCAAGCUCUGAUCCCUGGCUUCUCUGGCAAACACAUAGAAAGCAGCAAGGCAUGCGUGAUGCUCAGGAAAGGAGAUUUUUUCCCAGCUCUCCCCCCUGGUCUAUUUGCUUUCCUCAGGGCUGCCAGUCCCAGCUUUCUGCCAACAUGUCUGGAGAGUACAGCUGGAAGUACGAACAUAGGAGUAUAGAGCAAUGCAAUGAUUGCAAACAGGGUGGAAAUCGGUCCCUGAAUAUCUUCUCCAGUCUUAUAUAAUGCUCUGUAACAUCCUUGGGAGGGAUUGUUUCUUUUCUCUCCAAUCUUUGUGUAGAUUGUAAUUCGAGGUGUAAUUCUUUAAGAUACCAUCAUACAUUGAGGAAACAAAACGUACCUCCAUUUUCUAAGCAUUCCACAUUUUGCUGCUGUAUUUUUUUAACAAGAAGGAGAAAGGUAAAAUUAUUCUUUAUUACGGCUUCUUUGUAUUAGAAUAAUAAGAAUUUAUUGCAGUAUAGACUGUGCAAGCACUUAAUAGUAGUCUCUCAAGGAGCUUAUAAUAAGAAGCAUGGGCCCAGAGUUGUCUGAUAGAUGCAGACAUACUGAUGGGGCAUCCUGGGAAAUAAGCAAGGAUGUGUCAGGAGCAGUAGUUUUAUUACCAUACACUUAUACACAUGGUUGAAAAGGGAGUUCUAAGAACUGUUUUGGAGCAGGGUUAUGAAGAAGAACCAUGAUUGUUCACGGCAAUUCCUCUAAGGCAGAGAAGUGCAGCAGAAGGGGAAAUGUCUUGGCUCACACACAGCAUUUUGGAAGAAGCAAGUUCUCAUCUAAAAAGUUUACAUAUUUGUCAGUGGCAAAGAAUGGGUUAAGUUGGAUGCAUUUAGCCUCUAACCAACGUGUAAUUUUAUUGCAAAAUGUCAAGUCAGUUCAACCUUUGUUUUAUAAGGAUGUUCCUGUUUAAACUUUGAGCAUGACUUUGAUUAUUGUAGUGUUUUAUAUACAAAUAGAGACUAUCUUUCCUGAACAUGGCAAGGAUGUCAGUUAUAUGGCUUUUGGCAAAAGCUUACACAGUUAUACUUUGCAUUUCAGAAAGUUCUCCAGUCUUUGCAACGAGACUCUGAAUAACGUCCGGUUGGGUCUUAUCUAGUCUGUUCUGCUUGCCUGGUUGAGUUCAGUUCUCAGACUGCUUUCUGCCUCUUUCCCUUUUCUUUCCCCUUUUAAAAGUAUGCAUUUCUCACAUCAUCUACAAUGAUUGUGUCAUGCUUAUUGUAUUAAUAGCACUUCACAUUUUUGAAGAAAAAGGACAAGAAAUGAUGUUAGUUUCUCCUGUAAUCUCAUUGGACUUUCAACUGAAGUGUGCUUUGAGUAAGUUAUUUUCUUUUCAAAGUCAGUAUUGAAAAUCUUAAAAUUUCUAAGUAGCUAUGAGAAGAGUCUCUUAUUUUCACAUCUUUGUGACAUAUCUGAGGAAUUUUUGCUACUACUGCUUCACAGACAGGCUGAUGGGACACAAAAUAUCAUUUGGGUUUGAGUAUUUAGUGCACAUUGCAAGUGAGGUGUGAGCAGUGUGGCUGCAGCCCUCAGCUGAACGCAAGGAAAGAGUGGGAGGGAGAGGAAGCUGAACGGCUGAGAUUUCAAGAAAUGAACAAGGCAGUAGGAAUGGGGAGGGUACAGCCCCUUUUCAGCCCUUAAAACUCCAUCACAUUUUCUUGAUUAGCUACUUCUGAAGGCAUGUAUGUAUGUAUAUGUAUAUAUAUACUCUAUUUUGAAAUGCAUGCAUAAGAAAAACUUGUUGGAGACUUCUACCAGAAGUGGCUGUGUUAUAUAUAUGGUAGUUUGCCACUACUGAACCAGUAACUCUUGACUUGUUGCAAGGAAAAGUAGGUCCUGACCUUGUGUAGAGACUCUCUUGUUCUCAGUUGCUUUUCUUGUAGUUUUCUUCCCCAUGGAGUGCAAAUCUUGCUGCCUCCAGUGAUCAAUCAAUAUAAACAAAUGGAAGCCGCAGCUAAACAUUUAUAUUUAUUUUGCCAAAUUCUAUCCUGCUGUGCUGAAUUUAAGCCAAAAACUUCUAUGAAGACAGUUUGUGUAUGUGUCAGGAUGAAAGCUGCCUACAGAAUCCAAGCAGAGAUUAUGUGAUAAAUGUGUUCAGGUCAAAAACUGGUUGCAGAAAUGACUGCAGGAUUUCUGGAUAUCUUUCAGCCAAGCCAGGCUGGGGAGAAUGAAGAUAUUUAUAAUAACUUUCAGCGUAGCCUCUGAGAUCUAAUAUGAGAAGGGAAGAAAGCAAGUACUCCCAUGAGGGCUCCUGAGUUACUGUUUUGCUGAUUUACCAGUUAGUGCUUAAAUCAGCUCUGGAGCGAAGGUGAGAGAGUUUGCUGCUUUAUGUCAACAGUGGGAAUUCAGUUUUGCGAGGAGAUGGAAAGCAUGGGGAAUAGCAGAGGGAGCAGGAGUGAGGCAUUUUUUGGUUGUUUCUUGUUUCAUUUCUCCAAUCAGUAGAACUCUUGAGAUGCUUUCCGUGUGUUUUCAUAAUUCAUGUUUUCUUUUUUCUUUUAAUUACCAUUAUUAUUAUAUUUUUUGCUUCUCACUGCACUUUACAGGUAUCAGCAGAGCUGUUAUUAAUGUGUUGGGCUAUGCUACAAGGUAAAACUCACCACAACACUCAGUGGCACCCAGAUUUGAAUGCUGAAAAAAAUGGCAGUAUAGUGGAUGAGGUCCCAGACUGGGCACUGGGGCUGACUGACAUGUGAUACAUACUUCAAGAUUUACAGAAGGACAGGGAUUGUUAGAAUACGUUUUUCUUGUGUGCUUGAGUAUGUUGAAGCUUAUAGGGAAGCAUACUGGGUGUUAAGAGGGUAUUUUAAGACAGGUUGGGUCAGCUGCAUGCUGUAAAAGGUUGGGACAGGAAUGUAAGGUGUAGAAAGCUCUGACUGGCAGCUCGUGGUGCCUGGUGGUGCUCCAAGGCUGCCACGGAAAAACUUCUCAUUCAACCUUACAGCAUGGUCUUCAAACAGCUACUGCUGUGGUGGCUUGCUAAAAUAUGGUAACCCUCAAAGUUUGAUAGAGCAUGAAACCAGAACCAAAUGCUGAUCAACCCUCGGAGCUUACUCUGAAGGCCUGCUAAGUUGAAAAAGGAAAAGGGCUAUGGUGGAAGAGAUAUGUAAACAGCCCUGAUGACGGUGUGACUUGUGGGAAGGAGCAGACAGGGAUUUCUGUUUGAGCAGCCGACAGUUAAGCCACGGAUUCUGAUGGAAAAUCAUUAUAAAAGGAGUAGCUGUUUGGCCAUCAUCUGUUGGAAGCAUUCGAGGUUUAGCUCUCUGUGAUGCAGAGUCCUGCUCUUUAGCUUGCGUUGCUCCGCAUUUGCUGAAGAUUAUUAAAUGCUCUGGUUUAAUGAGGGCUCUCUUAAUGGUUAUUUUAUGCUUCUGUCAAUGGAUCAUUGCUUUGUAGGGUGCUAAUAUCUCGAUAAUGGCUGGGAAUUGCUGAGUGGUUGAUGGAGAGUUUAAAAAAAAUGAAAAACAAACCCUUGGAACUCUUCAACAUCUGCCACAAGCUUAGGUGCUUUGAAAUUCUUUUUGUUGUUGUUGUUUUAAAUCUUAGUAAUUUUUUUCUGAAGGUGCAGAUUCCGAUCCAUUCAGCAGACAGAUCAAAUGCAUCUCAGAGCAGUUUAGGAAAGCUAUCCAGCUGAAAUUUGACUCUAAAAGUGACAAUGUCUUGAUUUAGACUAGCACGGUUUACUUUGCAUUUCUAACCCACACUUCAGCCGUUUAGGGCCACUAAAUUUUCCAGAUGAUUCCUGCAACUGAAUAUCUCACAACGAAUGCUGAAUGCUCUUUGAUCUUUUCACAGGUUUCUGCUUUUCUCAUACUUCGGAUGUGGAGGGGAAAUACUGAGCAUGUUUGGCUUGAAUUAGCUCAUUCUCUUGUGCAGUUCUUGUGCCUUUACAAAAAGCUCUUGUGAUCUGAUAAACUACUUAUCCUAAGAAUGCAUUUUUGCUCUGUUUGCAAUAUGUUGAUGAGACGGAACAUCUCCAAGGAGUUCAGGACAUUCGCAGCAAUAAAUUAAUUCAAUCCUUGAGAAAAAGGAAUUUAUUUAUUUAUUUAUUUACUUACUUACUUGUUGCUAAAAUGUAGAAAAAAUAACUUUCCAUUCCUAUUCAGAGUUUACUUUUAGAAUGGCUUAGUGAAAAACUGAUGAGUUUUUCCUUUCCAAGGCCUUGGCUGGUUGUAUGUUUAGGGCUCAUAAGGGACUUUUACUUGCACAAGGAGUGCUUCACAAACACUACUGUUGUUUUAUUUUCUUGUUGGUACAUUUUUUUCUUUUUCCUAACAUGUUCUCUAUCUUUUUAUAGUGUCUUGCUUGGGUGGCUUGUUUGAAUCUUGACUUCUUUUGGUAAAUUAAUCAUUAAGUCAUUUUUGAGACAAAAAAAUUCCUUUACAAAGAUGGCUGCUGCUUUGGGGAUAGUAGAAUUUUCAGAAUACUUUUUUAAAGGUCGCGCAAUUUAACAAGUUCUACUUUGGAAACUGCACUGAGAUGAGAGUCCAGGAGAAAAAUACUCUGUUUGUUAUCCAUUUGGGUAACUUUUGUUGACCGUGUGAGCAAUUAGCAUUUUUGCUAAAUGCUUCGAGUCCAAUUAGUGUAGUUGCUCCUGUUGAAGAUACACUUGGGUUACGUCUCUUCUCUCUGUAAGAAUUCUCUAGUAUCAUUUGGAUUUUAGACUGGUGGUUGUCCAUGCAACUACCACAUGUAUAUCUUUCAUAUAUAAGAAAAUGUAUUUGUAUUGUAUGCAUGAAUAUGUACCUAUUAUAGUGUUUUGCUCUGUCCACAUUGUGCCAAGGAAAGAGACAGGAGGACAAUGAAUACAAAGCUGCUUUAUAGAUAGAAUGCAUAUGAUAAAGUCUGGUGAACUCCGAUUCUUCUUCAAUUGGCUCCUACAGUUGUUUGAUUUUUAGUUUUUUUUUUCUUCCUCCAGUCUGCUCCCUUCCAAUUCUACAUCCUUUUUCUCUUUCUGUCUCUUGAAUAACUUUUUAUUAAAUCCAGAUGCAUUUUUGCUUUGUUUGCAAUAUGUUGAUGAGAUGGAAAUCAGUGAGUCAGCAGCACCCAGUGGGUUCAACAAGUGCUGGAAGAAAUCGUACGUAUGUGAUGCUCACAUCUUAAGAUAUCCUUCAGUGUUUGUGCUUGUGACAGCAGCGGUAGGAGACACAGCAGAGAACAGUGAGUAGUUAGGGAUCAUUUUGUUCAGCUUGUUCUCCAAAGCUGCUUUGACCAGAGUUAGAUGAUCCUUAAAUGAAAUGCCAGCUAUGUUAUCUUAAUAGCAUGCAGCAUUGUGUUCUGGAGGUGAACUAGUGAGGAAUAAGGUUUUAAGAGACCUGCUGCAGACAGGUUUGAGAGAAGAAAACAUUGUCAGUCCUACAUUAAUCCUUGUAGGUCUUUUACAUCUCCCAUGCCUGAGAAAGUGCUCAGUCUAUUUUGGAUGUCCAGCAUACUAUUUUCUUCUCUUAUUUAGUUACUAUUGCUUUGCUCUUCCUCUUUUGCCGUAAAAGUCCCUUGCUUUUGGUAUUUAUGCCUUUCAAACUGUGCAUUACUCUAUCUUUUUUUCUUGUCAUAUUGCCAAGGUCUUCAGAAUCCAGUUCUAUUUUAAUCACUCACUAUGUGUCUGUCUCUCCAGCUCUCUGGUCCUUUUUGCUGUUUUCUGGACUCUUUCCAUUUUCUCCCCCAGUCUUUCUGAUAGUUAGAUGACUAUAACUGCAUGUAAAAUUCCUGGCAAGCACACAGAGGGUAAGGUCAUACAAAGAUAGAUUUCCACCUUCUUUCUCUUCGACUUGAUGUAUUUGUGAAAACAACUCAAGACUGUUUUGUUUUGUUGCCGUAUUACCUUACAGACUGCAUUUAGCUUUUCUGUCUGCUAUUACUAUGGGCUCUCUCAGGCAUUACAGCUUUAAGGUUAGUUAAAAUAAAUGCUUGGCCUCAGCUGCUCCUAUUUAUGCCUGCUGAAGGUGCAUCCAUUUUAUUUUCUGUAGACUGCUUCAGUUUGUAGCUGGAUAUUUUGUGAGUGUAUGUGUGUUCAUGCCCUUUCCCUACUGCUAUUUAUCACUUUUCUGUGUCUUUCUUCUCUUCCACUUUACAAAGAAUUCUCUAUAAAGAUCUCCACCCUCCGGUGAGAAACCUAUGGCUGAAACAAGUCAGAACUACAAGGUUUUCCAGCUGAACCUUUGGGAAUAAGGGCAGAAUGCCCAAGUGCUGUGACUGUGCCCAAGCUAUGUAUGGUAAAACAAUCCGCGUGACACUCUGGAUUCUAGGCCACUCCAGAGACCUAGCCCCAUUGUGCCCUUUGGGGGAAUUUGUCCUCAACCUGAUUUUUCAUUCCUUCAAAGACCAGCACACACGGGGGGAGUCUUCUGGGGGAGUUCCCAGGGCUCUUCCAAGGAAGCAGCUGGGAAGCAUCUGUUCUGCCUCAUUCCCAAAAUACAGAAGCAGAGGAGAAGCAUAUACAUCUACACAUUUUUUUUUGUGUGUGUUGAUGACUAUCUAGAACAUAUGCUAGGCACUCUGAACCUUUUUUAAUAGCAAGUUUAUUAGAUUAUAUUGACAUACUGCACUGAGAGCAUGGCAAGCCAGAGGCAUUUCUUGGAUUAUGACUCAUUCUGUUUUCCAUUUCAGCAGCUCCAGGUUUGUUUUGGUGCCUUGACUGAGCAUUUUAGAUUUGUUUAACUCUUUUCAUUGUAGGCUUUCUAGUUCACUUCAAAACUGGUAGAAAAAGGGAAGCACAAGGCUGGAUGAACACAGCCUUUGAAGACCUUCUGACAUGAGUAUGGAAGUACCUACCAGCAUGGAUGCCAAAAGCUGAUAGAUCUGGAUUUUGUUUUUCUUUCUGUAAAAUGCCAGGCAAGGCAUCUGACCGUUUUUGUGUUAUCUUGUCUUUAUCUGUGUGGCUCAUUGCUUCUUCAUUAUGUGAGAAUGAAGUGGUUCAGUUUUGUUAGGCUCAGGCUUAGUGAUUGUGCAAAGCAUAUCAGGGAACCCACUUGCCUCUAUAUGUGCCCAGAGUGCCGCUUAAAAACCUGUUAGUAUAUCCUGCACAAUAUGGCACACAGCUAUUUCAUGAAAAUUCAGAUCAUCCUAACAAAUUCUCUUUUUCUCUUGGAUUUGUUUUAUAGUUCACAUCUUGGUGACAUUGUAUGAGCACCCAAAUCUUUUUAGAUAUUUUGCCCUAAUUGGUAACAUUGUUUCUGGACUGAUUUGUAGCAGGGCAAAGUCCUGUUCAGCAAACUUGUUAGGUAGAGCUGAGGAAUGUGAAAGCUGUUCUAAGUAUGCUCUGCUACUGUCUGUGAUGAGAGGGAUGCAUCUUGCGUCUUCACUGUGAUUUUGAAAAUACAGUAAGAACUCAGCUCUGGGAUCACCACCAAGUUUUACUAAAGAGCAGUUUAUCACCUUGCUUCCAGGCUCUGCUCUUUUUCAAAUGGAGAUAUAUUUUGCCCAGUCCUUGACUUGUAGAUCAAGCCAAUGGUAUUGGUGACAUUCAAAUCCCACUCUUUCUUUUUCAGUUCUCUGCCUGAUCACCUGCUGUUGGGAAGCAGGUGGCUGUGCUCCCCAUUCUGCUGUUGCCUUUGGUGAUCUUUGUUAAUGCUGAGAGAAAAGCUGAGGUGCAAGGUGUUGCAAAAGAGUCUGCCAUUCUCCACGAUGAGUGCACAGGAAGACACAUAAACCUGCCCAGAACCCAGUUCCCAUAGAUGCAGCAGAACAAGCUUUAGGUUGAGGCAUUCUGUGGAUCAGCUGGGAAGUGUUUUCCUCAAAAUGUUCAGUCUGCCUGGGAAGACCUCCUGCUAGAGGCUGGCUAGAAGGCACCUCUACAAAUAAGUGUGAAUACAAUUGGAACACAUGAGGGCUGUGCAGUCUAACCUGUUCUCUAAAAGUGUUAGAAUUUAAAAAGGAACAUUACUGUCUGUCAGAUAGGAUACAGAUUAUUCUGAUAUUUUUAAAGAUGCCAUUAUAAGACAUCUCUUCUUUCUGUUUUGUUCCAUUCAGCGAAUUAUUUCCAGAGCACUGUGACAUGAAAGAGCAUGCAUUUACAGAGGGCUGCGGAGUGCCUCUGACAGAGCAUAGCCGAAGGCGAUAUGAUCUGCAGAAUGAUGCCUCAUAAAUUCCACCCCAUCUCAUGACCCAGCCAGCAGAGGUGUUUUGUUCAGACGCUGCUCACAGAGCAACUACCAUUAUGUAGGCAAGCUGCAGCAACCCCAGGCGAUGCAAGCAUUUAACCAAAAAUCGCAAAGGAGAGGGCAGAGAGAAAAAAUCUAAAGGAAAUUCAGGAACAACACAAAAAUCUGGCAUGAUUAACAGAAGCACAUUUUUGUAAUGCGUGUGCUCUCAACAGCCCCAGUUUUCUGCUGCUUGCUAAGUGCUCUCUGUGAGAGCCAGUUGUGCAGCGGGUGAACUUGGCCAAAAAUUCCUGUAUUUGCAGAGAUGCCACAAGCCUCUAUGAGCAAUGUUUGAAGGGGCUGCAAAGUUAUUUUUCCAGUAACAUCCGCAAACUCUGACUAAUGACUGAAGAAUCAGAUGGGUACAGCACUGGCUGUCCCGUCCUGCCCACUGCUGAGCUCUGGGCUACUCUGGCACCCGCCACAGGGGAUCAGAGGCUGAGGUAGAGCAGCAUGGUUCAGACCGAAGGUGUAGAGAAAGAGAGAAAAUGGAAGGCAGGGCAAGCAAACUAAAAUGUGUGUUUCUAUUUAUGGUUGAAGAGCUUGGUAUUGAAAAUAAGCUGUUAAAUUAGGGUUUAAGCUUCUUCUGUUCAUACAGAACUUCCAAGCAGGGUCUGCGAUCUGCCAGCACAUCAGUCAGUGUCACUGAAGACCUGUUCUGUGCAGCACACUCCGCAACCCUGCCCAAGGAGAAGAAAUGGGAGCUGAGUCACUUGCAGAAAUGAGGCAGCAGUAGUGCCUCUGGUAAAAGAAAGAAUAAAUAGCAUCAAACCUUUUUGCACUAAAGUGUGUUCAACUGUGCCAACCUGUGUGAAGAGAUGAGCUUUAGAAUUAGUGUGAUCUAUCACAGCCUAAUUCCUAACUGCUCUUUCUGCUCAGGGCACCAGGGAUCUGGAAGAGCCGUGGGAUCAUGCUGAGUUUGAUAACACUGCACUAACACAUAGCUGGGUGGCUGGUUAAGACUCUUAGUUCCAUUCCCCAGCUCAGAAUUACAGACUUCAGACUCAGUCCACUGCUCGGCACCAUCUCUAUAUACCAGUACACUCUACAGCACAGGAGCAACUUCUUUAUGUUAUUAGAUUUAACAAGUUGUGACCAGAUAGGUAUAAAUAUUAUUUGAUCAGAGCUGGCCAAAUGUCAAUCCGCAGCACAGUUAUUAAUCUGAGUUAACUCCAGGGACUUAACAUAGAGGUUCAGCCACUGCCAGUAAAACAAAGAGUGGGAGCCUCAGACGCGGCUUCUGUGGUUCCUGGCUCCUCUGCUCUCAUUUAAAGAGUACUCUUAUUUUUACCAGUGGGAUUACAGUUUCAUUCUGUGGAGUGGUAAAAUGUGUGUAUUUUUUUUUGCAUGUGGUUCUGUGACACUCUUCACAUCUGAAGUUUGUGUUAUGCAGAGUUUGAUAGAUUGGAUGUAUUCACGAACUUCUUGGGUGUUGCUUCAGUUUAAAGUUUGGAUGGUUUUCACUUCUUUUUCUGAGCCAUUUUUUUUCUGAAAAUUUGGCUUCUUAUAUACUUUUGACAGAUGUAGGUAUUUUUUACAUUUUCAGUGAGGUGGAAACAAUUAGUUGGUUUGUAUUGUACUCCAGCCAAAACCAGAGUAUCCUCCUGCUUCCCCGCGUUGGGUGGUUAGGGCACAUCCCUAUGAUUUACAGGCUUUAAUUUCCAACCUCCUGAGGCUGAAAAAGCUGAGAACGUGAAACCCAAAGCUUAUUUAUAGAGUGCUUCUGCUAACCACAGAGAUACUGUGCAAAGGUAGUCAGCACCACAGAUCAUUUUGGGCUUAAAGCUAUUAAUGUAUGCUGCCUGCAAGGAUAUAUACUUUGUGAAUUACAUAUUUUAGCUGGAGAUACAUCACCUCAGCUCAACUAAAGAAGAGUUUUUAGGUGAGAAUUAAUGAACAGGCAAAGCCAGAUGUUGAAGCUGCUCUGAUAAUACAGUGCUUUACUUGCAGUUGGAGGGUUGACUUACUGUGUCAUAUACCACUGUUAUUUGUAGCUGGAACAUUUAGUGGGAGAUCUGUUUAGAAUAUGAAUUUGUUUUGCUACUAAAAUAGCAGCAAGGGAGAAAACUGCUCAGUUCCUUUUGGAACUGCCCUCAGAAAGCAUUUCAAAAAUGAAGCAAACCAAGAGUAUGUCCAACAUGCUGCCUUUCACAGCAUCAGUGGAGUAUGCAGUACCGUGACUUUUAUGCGAUGGUGCCUGCAUCUCUUUUUGGCCUAAUUUCUUAAUGUCUUGGCUAUCGGUUUUACAGCCUUUUGUCCUCAGACAAGGAGACAGAGAAAGCUUACUUCAUCUCAUUUCUUGUUAGAUGAUAGAUAGAAAAAAAUACUUUUCUUUGAGUGCUUUCUCUGUGUUUCACUGCAGAACGUUAAUGUAGAACCUAUAUAAAAUGUCUCAGAGUACAACAUUUCAUGAUACACAUUUCAUUUUCCAGUAUUAUUUGGAGAUCUUCCAGCAUGCUUUAGGAGAUGCUUUUAGAAAACUGUCUUUUUUUUCUUUUUUUGGGUCAAGCCAGAAAAUCACCACCAGAAAUGGAAACAGAUCUCUCAACACUUCUACCAUACACUGGGAAAAUCACUUUGAGGAACGUGGGCUACCAACAUCAACACUGCUGAGCUGCUGUUCAUGACCACUUGUAGCACGAAUGUGUCCACCGAGGAGGUUGGAGUGUCAGUCUAUAUCAUCUGCCAUCUUUUGAGCUGAUGUCUCCAGGGGCCGCAGAGGUAGGUAAUGAGCCCAGGGCUGAUAGGUCUCUGACUCAGAGAGGCACAGGGCCAGGAACACUGGUAGUUCCCAGCUUUUAUUAAUGAGAGCAUGGGGAAAUCAUUCUAUUUACAGCAUCAAAGACCAGCUGACACUUAUUCUAGCACUAGAAAGAUUAUAAAUAAGGAUCCCGCUUUUGUGUGUCCUGAGCACCUUCAAUUCUUCUUGACCUUGAUGAGGAGGAAGAAGAAAUUAGAAAUACAAGUGUCUGAAGAUUCUCUCUGUAGCCCUCACACUCAUGAAGGACAGCAGUAAGCAGGACCCAAGCAUCCUCAGGAUGCCACAUCCUCAGGACUGUUGUGAGCAAAUGGUUUUUGCUGAAGCCUGUGUGAAUAUUUUUGGAUUACAAAGUCAUUUAUUCAUAAAUUACCAUUGGAAGAAAUGACCUUCUGGUACAGGUGAAGUUGUACUGAGUGUCUUGGGUGAUGAGUGAUAAUAUAUUGUAUCCGAUUAGAUAGUUCCUGAAUAGGCAUGGUUAGGCUACAGAAAGGUAUCAGAUUGGGUAUUUGUUGCUGUUUCCUUUUCAUAAAAUGUAAACAAAAAGUAUGCAUAUUGGUUUUGUGUAGUUCACAUAAAAAAAGAUGUGGUUGGUUUUCUCUGCUGUUCCAAUAACUUUCUAUGCGCCUUUGCAGUGAACAAAUGCUCCUCUCCACAGUUCCUAUUCUCAAGUUUGUGACGUUUUCAGUUUUUCUAAUCUGUGGUAGAAAGCAAAACAAAUAUCAUGGCUGAGUUUUAUCAGUCGGACAAUACCAAGCUUUGGCAAUUAGGUUUAGGUUUGUCUUCGGUUUAGUUAGUCUUCUGUUUUUUCAAUCAUUUGUCAAUAAUUGGUUAUUAAAAUUAUUAAGAACAAUACAUUAAUAACAUCUAAAAGACAAGUAAUAUAAUAAAGAGUUUGUAAGUGGCUUGGUUUUCUGGAAUAUCCCUUAAAUUCUUGAUGACCUGUGGAAAGGAAAAUCCUUUAUGUUUGAUUUGUUUAGCUGAAUCUGACUUCAAUUCAUGUUCUCCUCCUGAAGCCCAAGUAUUAUUUGUGUGGUUCGUAUAAGGGAUUGCUUGAGGAAUGUCCUUUAAAAUUUUGCCAAGCUUCACCUCUGUGAUAGAAUUUUGAAUGUUUUGUUUCGGAUGGUCUUAAAUAGUUUAUCUGUUCUGAUUCCAAAUAGAUUCAUCUUUAUUUUCAGCGUUUUUCUCAAUGUAGGGAAAAAAAAAAAAAAAAAAGAAAGGACAGAUCUACGCAUAAAAGUGUUUUUUUAUGAUUUUUUUUUAAUUAGAGGUCAUGAGAGAACAUCAUCUUUGGCUCCAAGAUAUUAAUGGAAUUUCAAACUUGUUUACGCCAUCCAGCAAGUUACUUUUAGGCACAGUAAUGCAGGAAUGGCUGCAGGAUUAACUCUAAUCCAAGGUCAGCGAAAGAAAAUACGGAGCUUGGCAAAUGAAUUUUUGAUCCAGAGAUCCAUGUAUUCAUCUUAAUGACAGCACAUUGCUAACAUUAACUCGCAGCAAACAUGCACAGAAGAAGGUGAGUUGUCAGACAAACAUGCAGUGCCUGAGGAGUCUUCCUGCGAAGUACCACUGCUGGGAGGGGAUGCUCAAUGGGAAACCAUCUUACCGAUUUGCUUACAAAGUAGGGGACUAUUACACCCUGAUUUUAAAGAAAGGAAAUGCAAGCACAUAGCUGGUGUAUGGGAGCAACACAAGAAGUCUAAAGCACUCCCAGAUGCUGGAUCUACAACUCUAAGGACUGACUUGAUUUUUGUCGUUGUUCUGUGGCAAAUGUCUCUGUGAACAAGAGCUUGUAAAAAAGUUUCCAGAUUAAAAGCAGCAUUCUUUCUGGCUUAGCUCCUAAGCAUAUUGGAUGAUCUUAAUAUCUGCCUUGUGAAUGCAUAUUGCAUUUAUUGUAAUAUUGCAACAUUUAUUGCAAUAUUGCAAAUUCACCUGUAUUAAAUGUUGAUCCCAUGCA